UCGGUCCAGUCGAUAGGCCUAUUUUUCAGCCCAUUGAAGGAGUCAAGCGAAAGAACUGCUCCGUAGUAUGUGGGCCCAAUAAAAGGCCCGCCAUAUGAGUUAGGGUUUCCGCAUCACGAGGUCAUAUAUAUAACCACCGGAAGUGCGCCAUCGGAGUAUCAUUCGCGUUUCGGAGAUUCGUCGCCGCGGAUAAAGGAAGAGAAAGAGAGACAGAAACCGAAGCUCCGAUCAGAGAAUGAGGGCCAAGUGGAAGAAGAAGCGUAUGAGGAGGCUUAAGAGGAAGCGCCGAAAGAUGCGGCAGAGGUCAAAGUAGUUUCCUGCUGUGUGAAGCACCAUUGGCCUUGAUUUGCCUUAAUCUUGUCUAUCUGAUAAAACAUACUAUAAGGGCUAUCAGAGUGGAUGAGGGGCUUUUUGAUAAUUUGAUAUUAGAUUAGUUGCUGGAUAUCAGACUUUCUUUGAGUUUUACACAAGUAGGCAUGUUGUCUGACUUAAUGAAAUGCUUUUAUACGCUUAGACAUCUUGCUUGGAGAUUGUUUAAGUACCUAUGAAGCGGUGAUUUUGCGUGCA